AAAAACAUGUCUGUAUGAGAGAUUUAUAAAGUCUGACCUGCCCAUUGGAAAACUAAAAGGCCGCGGUAUUAUGACCGUGCAAAGGUAGCAUAAUCAUUAGUUUUUUAAUUGAAGGCUAGAAUGAAUGGUUGGACAAGAAAUAAUCUGUCUUAAACUAAGAUAUUGAAUUUAACUUUUGAGUGAAAAGGCUUAAAUGAUCUAAAGGGACGAUAAGACCCUAUAAAACUUUAUAUUUUAAAGUAGAAAAUAAUUUUAUUUAAAUGUUAUUAUUUUAAAAUAUUUUGUUGGGGUGACAAGGAUAUAAUAAUGGGUAACUGUCUUUUAUUUUUACAAUAAUAUUUGAUUUGUUGAUCCUAAAAGGGAUUAAAGAUUAAGUUACUUUAGGGAUAACAGCGUAAUUUUUUUUGAGAGUUCUUAUCGACAAAAAAGUUUGCGACCUCGAUGUUGAAUUAAAAAUUCUUUAUAGAGUAGAGACUAUAAAAGAAGGUCUGUUCGACCUUUAAAAUUUUACAUGAU
rnacentral:rRNA from 1 species